GUUACUGUGGCUGUGGUGUAGGUCGGCAAUGACAGCUCUGAUUCGACCUCUAGACUAGGAACCUCCAUAGGCCACCAGUGUGGCCCUAAAAAGAAAUUAUACAUGGUAAUGACAUUACUGUUAUUUACAAAAUCAAGGACUGACAAGGGCUAGGUGCCAGCCUCUGCUGAAGCACGUACAUAAUUAUUUCCAUUUAUUUCUCACCACGACCCUCUGGUUACCCCAAUAUUACACAUGAGGCAACUGAAGCCACCUUCUCCUUGAAAUCUAUUAUUCUCCGCGAGCACAAAGGAAAAUCGAACUAAAUUUACUGACAAAGUCAGAAAAGGCUUUACAGAAGGUUAACUUUUUCAGAGGGGUCGGCAAGAAGUCUGGGUUUCCCCGAGCAGGGCAAGAAUCUGGAACUCUGAAAGCAUAAUACCUGCUUCCAAGGCUAGUUAGGAGACGCUAACAAAAUAAGAUAUGUAAAACCCUAGCCCAGUGCCGGGCAAGAAGGAGAUACUCUCCAAGUAUCUGGUCCCCUGUGGGGGUAGGAACGUGUGACCACUUUCCUCAUGCACCUUGGUUUUUAGAAGACCCCCAAGUCGUAAACUCUGUGCAGGUGACUCCGUGAAGAUCCCUGCCCUCAGUUCAGAGGUGGAAAGUGUUUGUGAAUGCUAGCCAGGGCAGUGGCCCCCACCUCUUCAUUGCACACACACACAUGCACACACAGUUGCUGAGGAGUUCCUGGAAAACACCAGCCUCUCUUUUGGAUCAAAAUAACUGAGUGGUCUCCCUUUGUGGCUGGUAUGGAGGAACACCCUAGAUGGGUAACUCAGCAGGUGCCGUUGACAUUAGCAACCACAGGGGCUCACACAGAGUGCCCGACUCACGGUGGGGGCCCCCCCUCUAAGUCAGAGCCUGUGCAUAGAUGCUCUUCCUCCCAGAGUGCCCAGAACACCCUGGAGCAGCUUGAAGGCUCAUCCCCCCUUCAGAACUGUUUUAUUUUAAAGGACACAUUUAAUGACCACGACUUCUGGCUCCUUGAAGAAGAAGAAAAAAGUUCCCUCGCCACACUCCCCUCAUUGGAGAGUUAAUCAAGCCUACUCACUAGCAGAUGAUGUAAUCCUGGUGGCUUCCUCGAUCAGGUCCAGGCGGCCUGUCCCCCUGAGCUAAUUGCCCUGUUUCACACCUGUUCCUUCUCAGGAGGCCCUGGCACCCUAGCGCCUGGUGCCUGCGCCACCUCCUCUCUCUGCCAGGACACCCGCUGGCCCUCGUGGAUGGCCAGGCCCCUCCACAGCCUGGGGCUUGGGGGUGGGGUUGUUUCCUUCUCACUUCUGCGGGAGGCCACUUGCUGUUCUGUGAGUGUUGCAAGCCCAGGGCUCCGAGGCGGUGGGCCGCCUGGUUGUCCAUCUGAUGGGGGUGGAGGGGGGGAACCAUGGUUCCUGCAGUGAGCUCUCACACAACAUGUGCUCUGCCCGGCUCCCUGAAUCUUCUCCAAGGAAGGGUCUCUGUGCUGUGUAGACAGCAACUGCUGUUUGGCCCAAAUCCUCAUUCAGACCCUCCUUCUCUGGUUGAGAAAGUGGAGACGACUCACAAUCUACAGCUUUGAACCGGCUCCAACAGACCCUCCGGUUCCAAGGAGCCAUCACUGACCCCAUGCGAGUUCAGCACGCUCCUCCCAGGGCUGCUCCCUUUGAACUUCUCCCCUGCACCUUCGGCCAGAGCGUGUCAACACCCUGGCCAUCACUCUUCCUGCAGCGGCUGACAACACAGGCCCCCGCCAAGGCUGCUCCGGGAGAAGAAAGCAAAAUUAUUUCCACAGUGGAGGUGGUGCUGAGCACAAGAGUCGGAAUCUAGCCGGGAAAAGCAGAGCAGAAGAGACAAAUCCAGGCUGUGCUGGAGGGGCCUCUGCCUCGCUGGUCGGGAGAAAGCAACUGCUCUAUCUCUGGCCUGCCCCUCGGACUGCAGAGCUGCGGGUCAUCGGCCUAAACCGCUUCAGUGCACACCACGCCUGGGUCUACGUGGAAAUGGUGGCACGCACUUAAAUGGAAUGUCCAACCUUUGUCCUCAGCCCUGAAACCACAGAUCCUGUGGUUCUGUAGCAGGUGGAAGCAGGCUGGUAAAGGGGAAGGACCACAGACCGUGGCGGAUCCAUGUCCACUCGUCAGCUCUGCCUCUCCCUGUGUGACUUGGGGGAAGUUCCUCCACCUCCAAGCCUCCUUCUUUGCCUCUUAUUCACCAAGAGACAAUAACCGAAAAUGCUCAUCCCGUGAGGACCCCGGGAAUGAAAUGAGAUCACACAUGUGAAGCAUGUAGCAUCUUGCUGGACAUAGGCCAGGUGCUGAAAACAGGGGUGAGUGGCUAAUAGAAAGUGGCUUUUUACCUCCUGUUUCUACUAUAAACUUAUAUAAACAUAUUACCAAAGCCUUAGGAAAUAGAAAAAGCCACCCAUAUUCAUAACUAUUAUCAUUAUUAUAUAUUCCCUCCAGGAUUUUUCCAAUGCAUGGGUUUUUGUUUUUUUUUUCUCACAGAUACAGUUAGUUUGUCUUUGUAAUCUCAGCGUCUGUGAAUAAAGUUUUAUUAACACA